GGGUUCUGUGAUUGUGAGCGAUUUCCCUGUGGUGACUUGUGCCCCUUGGCACUGGGGGAGUGAAAUCCAGUGCACUGGGAGCACUGGGAAGAGCCCUGGAGCUCCAGGUCCCUGCCAGUUUGGUACAGCAUUAGAGAAUGUCUAAUGGUGGGUGUGUUUUUAUGUCACAAAGAGUCGCAGAGUUAAGCAGGAUAACAUCUACUACCCUACUGUGUCAGCGUAGAGGGAAAAUAAAGGCAUGACAGCUGUUAUUAGACACUGGAAGCACAAAAUAAAUCUGUUUCCAAGAGCACCAUUGUGAAUGAGAAAGGAGAGAGAGAAUUAUCCCUUGCUGGUGGCUUUUAGCAUAGCAGGAAACUGGAUGUAUGAACUCGAAAUAACCUUUGAAGUGAUCACCCUGGAAAGAACAGAGAGUUCCAUGUGAAAAGGCAUUGAAGUCAGUUCAUGUGAUGCACACUUCUGGGUUCCCACUUCCCACAGGAGCACAGCAGAAGACAAGGUCCUUUAUUAACUUAACCAAGCACGAAUUUGUCUUACAAUUUUCCCAUUCAUUCCAAUGGGACAUGAAUAUUUUGUUUCCUAAUCAGCACAAUUAGCCCGGAGCUCAGGUUGCAGUGUGUCACUGCAGUGACAGCUCCCCCUGAAUGACAGCUCCUCUCUGUAGUGAGAAAUGACAGCAUUUGUAAACCAGGGUUGUCUAAAGAGAAGACUCUGUUCUGGAGUGACUAUUUCCCAGUUAAUCAUUGCUGCAUUUUACAGCACACCUUCAAUAUACUUAUUUUAAACUGAUCUGGCUGGUCUGCUGAAAGGGACCCGAAUGGUGUGUAGCAGAAUAUUCUAUUGCAGCACCUACUAGCAGAAUAUUGUUGAUGGCAAUUAGAGGAUUCUCAGACACACUGUGAAAUGUGAUCCAGUAAAAAAGUCACUAGUGAUGGGUGUCAGAGUUUGUCAUGCUCACCUCGGUGGCAAAACUCUUGCCAUGCUUUUUGUGGUCACUUGGGCAGUUACUGUCACCAGCCUCUUCCUAAUGGAAACCUUAUUUUUUUUAUGCAGCAGAAGCCACCACCUGUGUCUCUGAAUGUGUGUUUGCGUGCACAUAUAUAUUAUAUAUUGUCAUUUAUAUAAUAAUUAUGUAUAAUCAUUAUUCCAUUUAUCCUUAAGCCACUGGCAUCUGGCUUAACAAAAAGGAAUGAGUAUUUUACACUCAUGAGCACAGGAAAGGAGUCUUGGACUGAAGGCUGACUUGGAAGCUCUCACAUAAUUUUCAUGCUCAUCAGCAUAGCCAGAAAUCUGAAUUUAAAUCACUGCAAGGUUUGGUAAGUAUUUUAAACACAACUUUUGGAACCUCAGUUUCUAUCUGCAAUACAUGGACUGUAUUUAGUUUCAGAUCUUUGGACAAGGGAUCAACUCAUGAAUGUUUGGAUGGCAGCAAGCACAGGCCUCUAUUUGUACCUGCAGACCAGGGAAAUUACUGCAAAAUACAUCUCUAAUUCUAAGAAUAAUGUCACCCCUCCUCUCAAAAUGAGAAAAAAACCUGCCAGCACCAUAAGUGCUUCUGAACACUUUCAGAAUGUUCAGGAAAUCUGCAAAUUGUCAGAAAGUUUUAAGGCAUAUUAUGGCAGAAAUCUUGACAUAAGUGUGCUGCAGACAUCAAAAAGACUAAUGCUGGUGUCGUGCUGAUUUCAUUUUCCUUUUGUUGUAUAAAUACACACACAGUACUUUAAAAAUAUUGGAGGUGAUCUGAAGUGGUUCAUAAAACCUUGCUGGUUUGCAAAUCACUGGGAUAUUUGAACUGCAUUGGAUGGUUCUGAGUUAGUGUCUGGAGGCACCUUGCAUUCUGCUAUUCCUUGGGAUUGCAUCUGCAAGUUAUGGAUGUGCAAUAUUGAUCCAGAAACUUGGCAUUUCAGCUUGGAGAAAAAGAGCAGCUUCUGUGUAGGAUCUGUGGUGUGAAAUUCCACAGAAAUGCUCGUGGUAACUUCAACAGCUUCUCCUUUGUUUAAAAAAAGUGCUGCUGGUUUUGUCUUCCCACUGCACUUCAGUGGAAGAAGCUCCUUUUUUUUUUUUUUUUUUUAGGCUCUUCACUGUCAGCUUUCCUCUGGAGAUUUUUCUCUAACAAAUCAUGAUGUAUUUUUUUGGUAAAACCCAGAGACUUUGAAAGGAGCACUGCUUCCUAGUGCAUACAUCUAUACAUUUUAUUCACUCUAUAUAGACAUACAUGGUUGGUAAAUAUUUGGUGUGUUGGCAGUUGAAGAAGGUUUCUCUGGAAAGGAUGACUGAAACCAGCGAUGAUUCUGGAUUUCAAGUAAUUAAAUGAUGUUCAAAUAGUUUCCCAAAUGUUAAAUAAUCUUAAUGGAAAAAAAAACCCCUCUAAUGUUCAGCAUUUAAUGACCAAGAAAAUGUGUUUUCAGCAGUUUAAAUGCAUUUGAAAUAUUUCAGUAUUUUACACUGUUAAUGCCUAAAUUACUUAGGCUAAUAAGAGGACAUUUGACUUGUAUUUCUGUUACUUACGUGCCUGUAAGAUUUCCCACAGCCAUUUGGCAUGGGACAGCUGAGUGUACCUAAUUAUCAUCUCAAGAUCCAGUCACUGAUUUUUUCCCCCACCCCCAUGCUAUAUUUACCUUUCAUGUGAUGGGUUAUAAAAACUCUUAUUCUGAGGGCUCAGUAAUCCGUGUUUUAGCAGGGUGGGUUCAAAACUUUCUGCAGUCACAGAGAGUCUUGCCUGGGUGUUUUCCAGAAAGCAAAGCCAAGUUUAUGUAACAGAAACAGAACACGAAACGUGUGGCAGGCAGGAUUUGUGAUCAUCCUGCUCCCAACCUCUGCCACCUCAACCUUGGUUUAUGUUGUUUUGUUGCUUUUUCUACUCACUAAUUAACAUUUCUCCUCUGUCCCAGGAUAGCUGAGUGCAGUGUGCCCAGCAAUCAUUAGAACCACUUGAAAGCUUUUCUUAGAAUUGCUGCCAUGAUGAGACCAGGUGACAAAACAGUGAAAUGCUGUAUCUUGAGAAAAAUGUGAAGCUGGUGUCAUGUAACACUUCUGUGAUGAUAGAUUAGCCAAUGUAAUUGCAGGAAAUAAAUGUCAUCACCUGUAUGAAGAUAAAUAGCUUUUCCUACACUAGCAUGCUUUUGCACAUAAAAUGUGUCAUUUUACCAGUUGUCCCCAUUUUUUUGCCAAAUAAAUUUUAUAAUGGCCAUAAAAGGAAA